AGAGGCGGGCGCCCGGACUCCAACCUGGAAGCCCGUGGCGCAGACGGGUUGCUUGCGACCAAGUGAUGGGAGGAUGGCGAGCGGCCCGCCCCCAGCCGCGACCCCGAACCGUGAAGGGAGCACUAACGCCGGAAAGCCAUUGGCUGCUGUCAGACCGGGUCUGGCCGAAGCCUGUGGGGAGGGCUGGGCCUGCGGGUAGGGGAGGGUGGACGUGCCCGGCUUCCGGCUCUUCCGCCUCUGGCCAGAGCAGCACGUGGGCGGCCCUUUGCCCUGACCCGUGGCGGAAAGGAAGCUAGCAGGAGCCCCUGUGCAGGCCUCCAGGCUGAAGGCCUUGUGGUGGAGGCAGAUGCCCUGGACAGUGCCUCCCCGAGCCCGUAACCAACUUCGCUGCUAGGUUUUUACGCAUCGGUUCUGUACUUGCCGUUCUGUGUUUCUCUCUCCACGAUUUCGGCACGCUAUAAAUGGCGGUUCCUAGGCCAAACCAGGGAGCCACUUGCUAUUUCUCCUUUCCUGGGGUGGCCCAGUCCAUUGGGCUCCAUGCCCUGUGAUGACACCCCUGGCCGUGGGCAGUCACCCUUUCUGCCAGGCACAGGCAGCCCCUGCCCUGUUAUGCCUGCUUCCUACAGCACCCCUGGGAGUCCAGCACUGUCCACGUCCCGGUUCUGCAGAGCAGGGAGGGUUUCCGGGGUGAGGUGACCUGCCCGAGGUCCCUCCAGGUAAAGGACAGCACGAGGGUUCGGGCUCCGCAGGGGAGCCCAGAGCCCUGUACCUGCUGCCGGGUUCCCAGCACUUGGCCUGUCAAGUUGCUCAAGAGAAUGGCUGUCUACCCUGUGGGCACCCUCUCCCUCCACCAGUCCUGUGGUGGCUGCCACUCAGGGACUGAUUCGCCCUGGAUAAAGCAGCCACAGAAGUGCAGGCAGGAAUGGGCAUCCCAGAUAAGAGCCAGACGGCCCACGCCUCCCCCGGCGCUCGGCCUCGGACCCCGGGGCCCGGGCGCUCAUGACGCCUAUGCUGACCGCCACCCGGACGCCGCCGCUGCGAGCCUGCGCCGCCGCCCGGCCCGAUGCCGGUCAUGCCGAUCCCCCGGCGGGUGCGCUCCUUCCACGGCCCGCACACCACCUGCCUGCACGCGGCCUGCGGGCCCGCGCGCGCCUCGCGCCUGGCCCGCACCAAGUACAACAACUUCGACGUCUACGUGCGGGCGCGCUGGCUCUACGGCUUCAUCCGCUUCCUGCUCUACUUCAGCUGCAGCCUCUUCACCGCCGCGCUGUGGGGCGCGCUGGCCGCCCUCUUCUGCCUGCAGUACCUGGGCGUGCGCGUCCUGCUGCGCUUCCAGCUCAAGUUGUCGCUGCUGCUGCUGCUGCUGGGCCGCCGGCGCGUGGACUUCCGCCUCCUGAACGAGCUGCUCAUCUACGGCAUCCACGUGACCAUGCUGCUGGUGGGCGGCCUGGGCUGGUGUUUCAUGGUCUUCGUGGACAUGUGAGGGCCCGGCCACCUCGCCCUGGGGGGGCUCUGCUGGGAGCCCAGGGUGCAUGCACCUGCUGCAGGUUCUUUUCUUGAGACCUGGGAGGCCGGGCCCGGUCCGCCCUUGCCCACAGACACCACCUGGGUGCCUGACCUGGGAGAGGAGAGGGCUGAGGCUUUCUGUGAAGGGACCUUGGCACCUGCCCUCCUUUCUGUGCGUGCUUUCGGGGCAGGACCUCCGGCCACCUGCUUGUGGUUCCAGCCUUAGGGAAGCGUCAGGCUCCACCAGCAGACGCACAGCACUGCCACCAAGCUCUUCACUCUGCCCCGGGCCACCCGAGCCCUGGCCUAGCCCGCAGGCCCUCCGCCAUCUGUCACUCUGUGAGGCGCUGGUCCUGAGUCCCAGGCUGGGCUUCAGGGUCACCUCGGUUUGCCUGGCAGGUUCCCAGAUCAGGGUCAACCCAGAGGAGUGUGGGGCCCAGGGUCCACCUGUCUCCCUCCUGGGUGGCGGGUCCCAGGGCCCACCUGUCGCCCUCCUGGGUGGGCCUGUUGAGAGUGCCAGCCAGGUGCUGUCAUCUCGUCAAGCGUCCGUUUCUGGGGAGGCGGCUCUGUCUUUUUCUGGCUUUGGGGGGCUUUCCAUCCCAUCCCCUGAGGGAGUGUCCAGGAUGGAGACGUGCUUGUCGGAAGCAGAUGUCAGAGGUGGCCCGAGGGCACCAGGCUGGACCUCCCAGCGAGGGGCUCGGCCGCCCUUGUUCCUGCCUCGGCAGCUGUUAGAAUGGAAUGAGGGCGUUCCUGCGGAGGCUCAGUGGUUAACAAACCCCACUAGUGUCCAUGAGGACGCAGGUUCAAUCCCUGGCCUUGCUCAGUGGGUUAGGGAUCUGGUGUUGGCCGUGAGCAGUGGUGCAGGUUGCAGAGGAGGCUUGGAUCCUGCGUUGCUGUGGCUGGGGUGGGUGUAGGCCAGCUCCAGUUCGACCCCUAGCCUGGGAACUUCCAUAUGCUGCACGUGCGGCCCUAAAAAAGCAAAAAAAAGCAAGUUGAACGUGGGCCGGAAAAGAGCAAGUGGCCCAGAGGGCUUCUGCUUGUGGAGAGAACACGCCGGAGGCUGGUGCUUGCCCAGACCCUCCCCCUGGCCUCUGUCCAGUGGGGCGUCGCGGGCAAGUGAGAGGGACUGAGUAACUACGCUGGGGCACCAGCCAGAGGCAGGACUCAGGGCCCCAAAUUGAGGGUGACACCUCAAAUUGUCCCCACAACCCCUGGGCACGGGCGGUGGCCCCUGCAGCCCUGCCUGGCCUGCCAGCCCAGCGGCCAGGGGCAGCUGGCAGGACCAUUAUGUGCCCCCCGCGAGGCAAACCCGAAUCAGGUAGAGAGCAGAAAAGUACUCGGCUGUGCGCCAAGCCCUUGACUCCGUAGCCAGCUUCGGGCUGACGCGGCCACGCGCGGUCCGGGCAGCUCCUGCAGGCAGAGGGAGCGAGUCCGCCUGACCUGCGUGGGUGGCGGGCCAGGAGCCGGCCCGCGCGGACCCUCUUCUCAGGGCUGCAGAGAGUCAUUUGCACUGGAUCACGCUGUUCCCGAAAAGCUUCGUCUUGUGUUCACUGGCGGCCGUUACCCGGGCCCGCCGAGGCUGCCCGCGGGGGCGUGGGCGCAGGGCUGGGCGUCGGGGCCUCGGCGGCGCAGAUGCAGAACUGCUCCCUGCCGCGAGUGCCUGUGAAGUCCUUUAUGGAAUGAGCCACCUGCAUUAAACUUAUUUUUUUAACACCU
rnacentral:lncRNA from 1 species